rnacentral:rRNA from 1 species
CAGUCGCCACGGGAAUACGGAGGGGGCUAGCGUUGUUCGGAAUUACUGGGCGUAAAGAGCUCGUAGGCGGUCUGUCGCGUCUGCUGUGAAAACUGGGGGCUCAACCCCCAGCCUGCAGUGGGUACGGGCAGACUAGAGUGCGGUAGGGGAGAUUGGAACUCCUGGUGUAGCGGUGGAAUGCGCAGAUAUCAGGAAGAACACCGAUGGCGAAGGCAGAUCUCUGGGCCGUAACUGACGCUGAGGAGCGAAAGCAUGGGGAGCGAACAGGAUUAGAUACCCCUGUAGUCCCUGUCUCUUAUAC